rnacentral:rRNA from 1 species
UACGUAGGUGGCAAGCGUUGUCCGGAUUUACUGGGCGUAAAGAGCGCGCAGGCGGUCGAGUAAGUCGAAUGUGAAAGCCCCCGGCUUAACUGGGGAGGGUCGUUCGAUACUGUUCGACUUGAAGGCAGGAGAGGGCAGCAGAAUUCCCGGUGUAGUGGUGAAAUGCGUAGAUAUCGGGAGGAAUACCAGUGGCGAAGGCGGCAUCCUGGACCGGUAUUGACGCUGAGGCGCGAAAGCCAGGGGAGCAAACGGG